CACGUAGGCGGCUUGGCAUGUCGGGUGUGAAAUCCCCGGGCUCAACCUGGGAACUGCAUCCGAAACUGCCUUGCUAGAGUAUGGGAGAGGGAAGUGGAAUUUCCGGUGUAGCGGUGAAAUGCGUAGAUAUCGGAAGGAACAUCAGUGGCGAAGGCGACUUCCUGGACCAAUACUGACGCUCAGGUGCGAAAGCGUGGGGAGCAAACAGGAUUAGAUACCCUGGUAGUCC
rnacentral:rRNA from 1 species